UAUUAAAAAUUUCAUUCAUUUGUACUAUUAAAAACUGGUAUGAUAGAUAAAAUAAAUGACAUAUAGUAUGCUACAUGUACCUUAUGCUGACAUGUAGAGAGUAAUUUUUAACAAUAAAAAGUGAAUGAAAUUUUUAAUA
rfam:Gossypium raimondii Chr01_contig_738, whole genome shotgun sequence.